UCAGCCAUGACACUCCGUGUUUGUGUCCUUUGUGAAAUCUGUGCCUCUCGCUAUCUACAGCAGCCUGGUGGCAAUAUUCUGCUCAUGUGGAGCCAAAAAUGAUACAGCAGGUUUCACAACUCAGGGGAUUUUAUUUCACCGCCAGUUAUGUGUCAAGAUUGUCACCUGCGACAACAGGAUCGCCAUGUCAGGUAACGCCAGAGUCACGUUCCUCUGAUUGGGCGGAAGUGACCCGAACCGCCGCCGCUACUGCUGGAUUAUUUUUUAACCGCAGCUUUUAAAAGACUGCCAGCUAAAACCUAAUUGCUGCCCAGCAGCAACGGAGAAAGCUGGACGUUAAGCCUGCGGCUGGUGGUACAGGAGAGUGGGAUUCCUGUGGAAGCAGCUGUCUCCGUGGGACCGGCCGUUAAAUCCCCGCUCUCAGCUGCCGGCCGCUGCCUCGUGAAACAGCAUCGAUAAGGUGAAGGGUGAAAACUGUGGCGCCGUGGAUCUGCAGCCGGGUUGCCUAGCAGCAAACUGAAUGCGCCCUGAACGCGCCGUCUCCCCCUGCGCGGCGGCGAGCGUCGCCUUCUCUGGAAGAGAGCGGCGUGAUGAAGCGACCCGGGACCAGCUGUGCUGCUCAGCAUCGCUCUCCAUCUUCCCCGGUCCUGGCUGACCCAUUUUCAGGAAACACCGAGGGAACAAACCAGAUGUGAACCUGCCUGGAGAGAUCAGCGCCUGGACGGAAAGUAGGCCGAGAUCUUCCCAUGAGGAGCCUCUCUACAUGCAGACAGGAGGGAGAUUUAUUACCCAGACUGCCCCACGGGGAGCGGCGUCCUGUGCCCUGUCUAGGCAGAAUCGAUGAAGCUGAGGGAAGAGGAGCAGCAGGAUGAAGAUGAAAGCUGCUGCUGGCCACGCCGCAACGUUUACACUCGCACAUGAAAAUGGCUGCCAACAUCUUUGAAAAGCAGAAGUGGAGCCUCCUGCACAACCAGCAAGUAUUCAGCAAAAGGUUUCUGGAUGCCGCAGCUGGGGGCAUUUUCUUCUUCCCAUGCAGAAGAUUCUCCGCUCUUCACCCAAGAUGAUGCAUUUCAUGCUGCACUAACGGCGUCAAAUGGUCUGGACUUCCUGCCUCUUAAUGUGCACAGCUGUGAAAUUGUUCUCAGCAAACUGAGAUUUCCUGCAUUUUAUCUUUCGGUGGACUCGGUUCUAUUGGGACCAAAGUUGCAGCAUCUGCUCCACCUCCAGCUGCUGUGGUUCUCUUUCUCUCUGCUCUGAGUUAC